GUGCCUUUUCAAUGUGAACAAUCUUUAUGGAACUGAGAAGUAUUUUGAAUGCUUUUGUUCAGAACGAUUUUGAGUUGUCUGAGUAUUCAAAGAAGUAAAAUGCCAAUCUGUGGAUGCAUCUGACAGAAUGGCAAACACUAUGAACAUAUGGCUGUACAAUUUUUUGUGCAAAUAUAUUGCUGUAAUUUUGAAAGGAAGGGUCUGGAACUUAAGCUCAUUUUUCCUGUAGUUCAUGUUUACUUAUUAUUGCUGUUAUCUCUGGUGCUUUUCUGGACUUACCCUCAUAAAAGCUGUGCUUUAAAACUGCUAUUAUUAGUACUUAUUUGAUAUUUAUUUUCCCUUGGUGGGUUUGUUGUGCUCAUCAUAUCCUUAGAACUCGUAUUGUGAUGUGCUUUUCAUAAAUCAGCUAGUUUGAAUAUAAAAUUAAAUUUGGGGAGUGUCAUCUUUGAUGGACGAUUCAUAUACUGUCCGUGUAUGAUAGUUUUGAUGCAGUAAUGGAUCUCCAUAGGGCACUGGGCUGUUUAUGGUCAAUUUUGCAUUUAAAGUAUGACUUGUAAUAAAACAGAUGAAUGUCUUUACGGUCAGUAUUAUCAAGAGUUUUUUAAAUUUACUUUUAUAAUAUGAAGGCCUGUAGAGGGGUGGAGUGGGCACUGGGUUUGAAGUCAAUUUUACCCGUUAAUUUAAAGAAGAGCUCAACGUGGAGCCUUACUUUAGUAUUUUGGAGAGAUCCCAGGUAUGUUGGACCUCUUCUGUAUGGAGUAAAAAAUCUUGAAAUGUUCAGCUUGGUAUUGGUUGCCAUUUCAAUCCUAUUAGUUGCCAUUUAUUUGGGAUUAAUGCUUUGGUACACUUUGAGAUCAUAUUUGCUCAUUAACACCUCGUUCUUGCAAAGUUAAUCUCUUUCUAUUGGUUCUCUGUUUUUGAAACAAUAGCUGUGCUAAUGUAGAGCAUAGAACUCAUGACUCUGCAGCUAUGCCAUACAGCUUUGAGCUUCAUCCCAGGAACCUGGGGUUUUCUCUUCUCUGAACAUCACUCUGACCAGGAGAAUGCUUUACAAACAAAGAAACAGCACAUUUUGAGUCCAAUUGGACUAGAGAAAGUGUAGUAGUAAUUG